AAUAACCACAGAGUGAAAGUUAAAAAAAAAAAAAAAAAAAAGGAAAUCCUGCCAUAUGUGACAAAAUGAAUGAACAUCGAGGGUAUUAUGUUGAGUGAAAUGUCAGUCACACCAGGGAAAAUAUUGCUUGAUACAACUUAUUUGAGGAGUUUGGUGGAGUCUGAAUAUCUACUCCAGGAAGAUAAUGAAAUCGGUGAUCUGACGUAGUAUAGAAAAAUCCAGAGGAGGAAAUUUCACAUUUGAUCUGGUCGGGUUUCAGGGAACAAUAAAGAACAAUACUUGUCCUUCUACUUUCUGUACAAAAUAAAUAUAAUAGAAGCAACCAGGAGCAUUACAGCUGGAGGGGCUCUACUCCCAUAGAAGGAAACUUGAAGAGUUGGAAAAAGCAUCACUGCUUCUUCCACACUUAUUGACACCCUGUUAGGGCUCAGGCACUAUGCAAGAUACAGAAGAUGUAACAAUAAAUAAAACAUAG